rnacentral:lncRNA from 1 species
CUUCAAACACUCCCAUUUUCAAUUCUCAAACACUUCAACUUCCGCUUCCACUUCUAUUACCAUACAACUUCCACUUCCAUUACCUUCUUCACAUUAAACUAAAGUACUCUACCCUAGACACCUAUCGACGAUCACCAUCGGUUUAUAUAUUUGUGUGUACGGUGGAGUACGAGUUAUCGUACGAUUUUCGUCUGUAGGUCCUCGACGUUCUACGUAACUUAUUAUCGG